AGGGGGAUCAGGCCAAGAAAUGUUUAUGCCCGAAGAGACAGUUUGGCUACUGGGACCCCAGCCACUCACACAACCAAUGGGGUUACACCAUUCAAGAGCAGGCAUUGAAUACUGGAAUUCUCUGAGAGCAGAUGCUCAAUAUUACAUGGACAUGGUAAAUCUGAAGUUUGACCGUUCUGUGGCUGAGUGAGGACAUUUCAAGUGAGAACAACAGGCUUUACAUGGACAUGCUGAGGAAUGUGAGAGCACAGCUGUAUGCACAUAUAGGCCGACAGUGAUUGACAUGACAGACUGAUUGAUGGAUUAAUUAAAUCGAUAGAGAGUGCUGAGGCAGCUUUGCUGAUCUCGGGGUUGUGGGUAGGGCUAAUUUCUCUUUGCAAAUGGUUCUCUCAGAGAUUGCAUUUUGUUUGCUGAAAUACCGUCUAGCAUAGAGACCAGUAUAAAGUGCUGUAUGUCAUCAUACAUUUAUAUUUUCAGUUAUAUAUGUAAAAGAAUACAUUUGCAAGUACACAAUAAAGAAGUCUGCAAUGCAUCUGCAUCUCUAUUAUUUUGUUUUUUGGAGGGGGGCAAAAGUGUUUUCAGAAAAUUAGUUAUAAGCUAUUACAGAUUUAAAGUAUAGAGGCUAUAAGGGAGAAUGGCUAAAGGCCCUUUAGGGUAAAAUCCCUUUUUAAUGUUCCGGUCCUAUUUUGUCUAUUUUAAAUAUACAAAUAAAAAUGUAUAUUUGCCUAUAGAAAAUGAAUGUUAUUUAUAGGGCCAUUAAGAGUUUUUACAUUGUGACAUUAAUGACUAUUAUGCAUAUGUUAG